CCAAUCCCCAUGUUUUAAACUCCCUUGGCACCGACAUCCAGCUCAUGAACCCUUCAUAGAAUGUAACAUGGGACAUUUACACAAUCUUGUAUAAUUAAUUUCUGCCUGAUCUCCCCUCUAGACUGUAAGAUCCAUGAAGGCAGGGACUCUACCUUUUUGCUUACCAUUGUAUUCCAGAGCCUGGCAUAGUGUCUGGCACAUGUUAGGUACUAAAUAAAUUCAUUCUGAAGGAAGGAAGAAUGAAUGAGUGGUAAAUUGAUACUUCUAAAAUAAUAAAGAGGAGGCCUAGCAUUUUAAAUAAGUGAUAAUAAUGGGUAGCACAUAUUAAACUUCUAGUGUUAGGUAAACACUGUUCGAAACUCUUUACUCAUUCAUUCCAGUUCCGAGGACCAACCCUAUCAGUACACAUCAGUAUCUGUGCAUAAUAGAUGAGAUCUGAGACUCAGGCUACUUGUGCAAGGCCAGGCAGCCAGUGUAAGGUGAAGCCUUAACAGUUGUCAAUAUUGUUACUCUAUUUAUUACUAUUCUCACCUUGGUGGAGUUCCUAAGAGUGCCAUCGUCAAAGGGGGUGGUGUUGGGCAGGCACAGCCCUGCCCCCAGGCCUCUGAGCACCUUCUAAGGCUGGGCCUGGAGUGAGAGUUUGGGGGCCCAGGGGCUGUGAGGGCCUGCCCACCGUAAUGGAAAUGGCAGAUGGAGGAAAGGAUCCUUCAGGCUGGGCAGUGGGGAAGGUCACUCAGGCAUCCAGAAACCUUCCUCAGAACCUGUCUUUGAAUUAAAUCUCAACUCAUAUCUUCCAGAAGCCUGAGGUGAGAUGUCUGGCCGUGUUGCUAGUGCCGUCGCCCUCAAGAAGCCAAACAGGCUCUCAGAGUCUCUCAGGCCCUGCCCCGGACGUGGCCCCGCCCCAGAGCAUGCUGGGCAGGACCUCCCCAUAGAUCCCUCCCAUUGCCAAUGUAUUCCUCCAGAGGAUUCUGAGCUCUGCUUGGUGUUUCCAGCUGUGAUGAGACGUUUCUCCGCUUAG
rnacentral:lncRNA from 1 species